UACGGAGGGUGCAAGCGUUAUCCGGAUUUACUGGGUUUAAAGGGUGUGUAGGCGGGAUUUUAAGUCAGUGGUGAAAUCUCCGGGCUCAACCUGGAAACUGCCAUUGAUACUAUUAGUCUUGAAUUUUGUUGAGGUAGGCGGAAUAAGUCAUGUAGCGGUGAAAUGCAUAGAUAUGACUUAGAACACCAAUUGCGAAGGCAGCUUGCUAAACAAAUAUUGACGCUGAGGCACGAAAGCGUGGUGAUCAAACAGG
rnacentral:rRNA from 1 species